AACGAACGCUGGCGGCAGGCCUAACACAUGCAAGUCGAACGCUCGUAGCGAAUACGAGAGUGGCAGACGGGUGAGUAACACGUGGGAACCUUCCCUAUGGUUCGGAAUAGCUCAGGGAAACUUGGGGUAAUACCGGAUAAGCCCUUCGGGGAAAGAUUUAUCGCCAUUGGAUGGGCCCGCGUCGGAUUAGCUAGUUGGUGAGGUAACGGCUCACCAAGGCAACGAUCCGUAGCUGGUCCGAGAGGAUGAUCAGCCACACUGGGACUGAGACACGGCCCAGACUCCUACGGGAGGCAGCAGGUGGGGAAUAUUGGACAAUGGGCGCAAGCCUGAUCCAGCCAUGCCGCGUGAGUGACGAAGGUCUUCGGAUUGU
rnacentral:rRNA from 1 species